UUGACCUCGGAUCAGGUAGGAAUACCCGCUGAACUUAAGCAUAUCAAUAAGCGGAGGAAAAGAAACCAACAGGGAUUGCCCUAGUAACGGCGAGUGAAGCGGCAACAGCUCAAAUUUGAAAUCUGGCUCUCGGGCCCGAGUUGUAAUUUGUAGAGGAUACUUUUGAUGCGGUGCCUUCCGAGUUCCCUGGAACGGGACGCCAUAGAGGGUGAGAGCCCCGUCUGGUUGGAUGCCAAAUCUCUGUAAAGUUCCUUCGACGAGUCGAGUAGUUUGGGAAUGCUGCUCUAAAUGGGAGGUAUAUGUCUUCUAAAGCUAAAUACCGGCCAGAGACCGAUAGCGCACAAGUAGAGUGAUCGAAAGAUGAAAAGCACUUUGAAAAGAGAGUUAAAAAGUACGUGAAAUUGUUGAAAGGGAAGCGUUUAUGACCAGACUUGGGCUUGGUUAAUCAUCUGGGGUUCUCCCCAGUGCACUUUUCCAGUCCAGGCCAGCAUCAGUUUUCGCCGGGGGAUAAAGACUUCGGGAAUGUGGCUCUCUUCGGGGAGUGUUAUAGCCCGUUGUGUAAUACCCUGGCGGGGACUGAGGUUCGCGC
rnacentral:rRNA from 5 species